UGGCAGCUUAUGCGGAGCCUCCAUUCACUCAUUGCUAAGAUGGGCCUGAUGCCCCAGCUCCCAGGGGUGGCUGUGAGGCUAUCCUGAGAGGAGGUUUGCCAAGUGCUGAGAGCUCAGGGCUCAGUGUGGGGCUCCUGAGCCCCAAGCCU